AAAAACAUGUCUUUUUGAAUAUAAUUUAAAGUCUAACCUGCCCACUGAAAAUUUUUGAAGGGCCGCGGUAUAUUGACUGUGCAAAGGUAGCAUAAUCAUUUGUCUUUUAAUUGAAGGCUAGAAUGAAAGGUUGAAUGAAGUAUUAACUGUCUCAUUUUUAUAAAUUAAAAAUUUAAUUUUUAAGUUAAAAAGCUUAAAUUUUAUUAGAGGACGAGAAGACCCUAUAGAUCUUUAUAAUUUAUAUAUUAAUUAAAUUAGGUAUAAAUUUUAUUUAAUAAAAUAAAUUAUUUUAUUGGGGUGAUAGGAAAAUUUAUUUAACUUUUUUUAUUUAAAAACAUUGAUUUAUGAUUAUUUGAUCCAUUAUUAUUGAUUAAAAGUUUAAGUUACCUUAGGGAUAACAGCGUAAUUUUUUUAGAGAGUUCAUAUUGAUAAAAAAGAUUGCGACCUCGAUGUUGAAUUAAAGGUUAUUUUUAAAUGCAGAAGUUUAAAGUUUAGGUCUGUUCGACCUUUGAAUCUUUACAUGAUCUGAG
rnacentral:rRNA from 1 species